ACACUGAUGAGGAAACCGAGGGCGAAAAGUGGGACCCCGCCAAUAGAGUAGGAUGGUCGCUCACGAGGUUCCAGGCCCAGAGGUCGCGACCCUGAGCUCUGACCUUUUUCCACCUCACCCCUCCUCCGCCUACCUAUCCCCGGCUCCCGCCCUCGGGGUCCUGUGGCUGUGACCCCCCAUCCCGCCAAAUCCGGCCGACUAGAGCUCCACGCGCGGCCCACGGGAUGAUUGUAAAGCAUCCCUCUGCCCCUCCAUACCACCCCAUGGAGAACUAAGGGGAAAUACCUUCAAAGGCCCUGCCCCCGGAGCUCGGUCUCCGCCAGCCACCCCCCCAGCAGCCGCCGAGCGUGCGCAUCUCUCCCCCAUCCCCCGCUCGCAGCCCCCCGCCCCCAGUCCUCGCCUUCACCUUGACCUGAGUCCGCUCAGGGGCCCAGGAACUUUGCAUAAACAAAGAGAGAAGGAGGAGAAGAUCGGGGCACCGCCCCCGGCCCGCCGGCGCCCCCGCUCCCGUCCUGGGACCCCAAGCCCGUCCGGCCCUCCAGUCCCCCGCGGGACCGGGCGGCCCGCAGCCCCCUUACCUUGGCCUGGCAUUUCCGAUGACAGGAGAAGCUGCAGACUGCAAGAAGGCGAGACACAGAAAGAAAGUUUAGCCGCGAGGCGAGAAUACUGGAAUGGAUUGCCACUUCCUUCUCCAGCGGAUCUUCCCAAUCCAGGGAUCGAACCCAGGUCUCCUGUAUUGGCAGGCGGAUUCUUCACCGCUGAGUCACCAAAGAAGCCCGAAUCUAUAGUUACCCACCCCUUUCCAACCUCAUGCCAAACAGAUCCCCAGCGAAGUGCAGAGGGGAGACCGAGGCACACAUGAAGGCCCAGAGCUGUCAAUAAAGCCUCCAUGGCUCCUCACA